rnacentral:rRNA from 1 species
AACAAACGCUGGCGGCGUGCCUAAUACAUGCAAGUCGAACGGGUAGCAAUACCAGUGGCGCACGGGUGAGGAAUACAUAGAUAAUCUGCCUUCGAGUCGGGGAUAACCAGUCGAAAGAUUGGCUAAUACCGGAUAAGACCACAGGAGCUGAGGCUCUAGGGGUUAAAGGUUUUUCGCUUGAAGAUGAGGCUAUGCGAGAUUAGCUAGUUGGUGAGGUAAUGGCUCACCAAGGCGACGAUCGCUAACUGGUCUUAGAGGAUGAUCAGUCACACUGGAACUGAGACACGGUCCAGACUCCUACGGGAGGCAGCAGUGGGGAAUAUUGCGCAAUGGGGGAAACCCUGACGCAGCGACGCCGCGUGAGUGAUGAAGGCCUUCGGGUCGUAAAGCUCUGUCGUAUGGGAAUAACACAAUGAAUGUACCAUGCAAGAAAGGAUCGGCUAACUUCGUGCCAGCAGCCGCCGUAA